rnacentral:tRNA from 1 species
GUUAUUGUAGCUUACAACCACCAAAGCGCAGCACUGAAAAUGCUGAGAAGGUCAAACACCCAUAUAACA